AUUGAACGCUGGCGGAAUGCUUUACACAUGCAAGUCGAACGGCAGCACGGGGGCAACCCUGGUGGCGAGUGGCGAACGGGUGAGUAAUACAUCGGAACGUGCCCAUGUCGUGGGGGAUAACGUAGCGAAAGCUACGCUAAUACCGCAUACGAUCUACGGAUGAAAGCGGGGGACCGUAAGGCCUCGCGCGAUUGGAGCGGCCGAUGGCAGAUUAGGUAGUUGGUGGGGUAAAGGCUCACCAAGCCUGCGAUCUGUAGCUGGUCUGAGAGGACGACCAGCAACACUGGGACGGGGACACGGCCCAGACUCCUACGGGAGGCAGCAGUGGGGAAUUUUGGACAAUGGGCGCAAGCCUGAUCCAGCCAUUCCGCGUGCAGGAUGAAGGCCUUCGGGUUGUAAACUGCUUUUGUACGGAACGAAAAGACUCUCUCUAAUACAGGGGGUUCAUGACGGUACCGUAAGAAUAAGCACCGGCUAACUACGUGCCAGCCGCCGCAGUAA
rnacentral:rRNA from 1 species